rnacentral:tRNA from 1 species
GCAGGUGUGGCGUAACUGGUAGCCGCGCUAGACUUAGAAUCUAGUGAGUAUAUCUCGUGAGAGUUCAAAUCUCUCCUCCUGCA